rnacentral:sRNA from 12 species
GCGCUCCUCGAUUUUGUCCCGUCCGUGUCGCCGCAAGGCGAGGCCGGCGGGGACGAAGCGGAAGCAAAAGCGCCGCGCUGGAUAAAGCACGACCGAGGCCAGUCUGAGUCCCCGC